rnacentral:rRNA from 1 species
UGGGGAAUAUUGGACAAUGGGGGCAACCCUGAUCCAGCGAUGCCGCGUGUGUGAAGAAGGCCUGAGGGUUGUAAAGCACUUUCAGUGGGGAGGAGGAUAUCUAGGUUAAGAGCCAGGAUAUUGGACGUUACCCACAGAAGAAGCACCGGCUAACUCCGUGCCAGCAGCCGCGGUAAUACGGGGGGUGCAAGCGUUAAUCGGAAUUACUGGGCGUAAAGGGUGCGUAGGUGGUUUGAUAAGUUAAGUGUGAAAGUUCUGGGCUUAACCUGGGGUAGUCAUUUAAGACUGUCAGACUAGAGUAUAGGAGAGGGUAGUGGAAUUUCCGGUGUAGCGGUGAAAUGCGUAGAGAUCGGAAGGAACAUCGGUGGCGAAGGCGGCUACCUGGCCUAAUACUGACACUGAGGCACGAAAGCAUGGGGAGCAAACAGG